UACGUAGGGUGCAAGCGUUGUCCGGAAUUAUUGGGCGUAAAGAGCUCGUAGGCGGUCUGUCGCGUCGGCUGUGAAAUCCCGAGGCUCAACCUCGGGUCUGCAGUCGAUACGGGCAAACUAGAGUAUUGCAGGGGAGACUGGAAUUCCUGGUGUAGCAGUGAAAUGCGUAGAGAUCGUAAGGAAGACCAGUGGCGAAGGCGGGUCUCUGGACAGUUCCUGACACUGAGGCACGAAGGCCAGGGGAGCAAAACGGG
rnacentral:rRNA from 1 species